rnacentral:rRNA from 1 species
UACACACCGCCCGUCACACCACGAAAGCCUGUUGUACCUGAAGUCGUUGGCGCCAACCGCAAGGAGGCAGACGCCCACGGUAUGGCCGGUGAUUGGGGUG